rnacentral:rRNA from 1 species
AGAAUCCCAAGGCGCUUGAGAGAACCCUGCUUAAGGAACUCGCAAAAUGACACCGUAACUUCGGGAGAAGGUGUGCCCUCUGUACGUGAAGCCCCUUGCGGGUGGAGCGGAAGAGGGUUGCAGAGAAACGGGGGUAGCGACUGUUUACCAAAAACCCAGCACUGUGCGAAGUCGGAAGACGACGUAUACGGUGUGAUGCCUGCCCGGUGCCGGAAGGUUAAGGGGAGUUGUCAGCCGCAAGGCAAAGCAGCGAACCGAAGCCCCGGUAAACGGCGGCCGUAACAAUAACGGUCCUAAGGUAGCGAAAUUCCUUGUCGGGUAAGUUCCGACCUGCACGAAUGGCAUAACGACUUCCCCACUGUCUCGAGCAGGGACUCAGCGAAGUAGCACUAGGGGUGAAGAUACCCUUUACCCGCGGCAGGACGGAAAGACCCCGUGAACCUUUACUGUAACUUGGCACUGAACUUCGGGUUCGUUUGCGUAGGAUAGGUGGGACGCUAGGAAGCAUGGACUCCGGUCUGUGUGGAGCGGCCGUUGAAAUACCACCCUGACGAAUCUGGAGUUCUAACCUGCACCCGUGAGCCGGGUGGGGGACAAUGCCUGGUGGGCAGUUUGACUGGGGCGGUCGCCUCCCAAAGAGUAACGGAGGCGCGCGAAGGUUCCCUCAGGCUGAUUGGAAACCAGCCGACGAGUGUAAUGGCAUAAGGGAGCUUGACUGCGAGACUGACAAGUCGAGCAGGUGCGAAAGCAGGUCAUGAUCCGGUGGUUCUGAAUGGAAGGGCCAUCGCUCAACGGAUAAAAGGUACUCCGGGGAUAACAGGCUUAUCACGCCCAAGAGUUCACAUCGACGGCGUGGUUUGGCACCUCGAUGUCGGCUCAUCGCAUCCUGGGGCUGAAGUUGGUCCCAAGGGUUUGGCUGUUCGCCAAUUAAAGCGGUACGCGAGCUGGGUUCAAAACGUCGUGAGACAGUUUGGUCCCUAUCCGCCGUGGGCGCAGGACGCUUGAGAGGAUCUGUCCUUAGUACGAGAGGACCGGGAUGGACGGACCGCUAGUGUUCCGGUUGUGGCGCCAGCUGCAAUGCCGGGUAGCUAUGUUCGGAAGGGAUAACCGCUGAAAGCAUCUAAGCGGGAAGCCCACCUCGAGAUAAGGCGUCCCUGAGACUUCGGUCUCCUGAAGACCCCAUGUAGACCACGUGGUUGAUAGGCUGGGUGUGGAAGCGCUGCAAGGCGCGGAGCUAACCAGUACUAAUCGGUCGUGAGGCUUGACCAC